GACGAACGCUGGCGGCGUGCUUAACACAUGCAAGUCGAACGGUGAAAGCGGAGCUUGCUCCGCUGGAUCAGUGGCGAACGGGUGAGUAACACGUGGGCAACCUGCCCCUCACUUCGGGAUAACUCCGGGAAACCGGGGCUAAUACCGGAUAUGACCUCCUUGGGCAUCCUUGGAGGUGGAAAGUUUUUCGGUGAGGGAUGGGCCCGCGGCCUAUUAGCUUGUUGGUGAGGUAGUGGCUCACCAAGGCGACGACGGGUAGCCGGCCUGAGAGGGCGACCGGCCACACUGGGACUGAGACACGGCCCAGACUCCUACGGGAGGCAGCAGUGGGGAAUAUUGCGCAAUGGGCGAAAGCCUGACGCAGCAACGCCGCGGGCGGGAUGACGGCCUUCGGGUUGUAAACCGCUUUCAGCAGGGAAGAAGCCGCAAGGUGACGGUACCUGCAGAAGAAGCACCGGCUAACUACGUGCCAGCAGCCGCGGUAA
rnacentral:rRNA from 1 species